CUUUUUGUGCUUGGGGCAAUGACGUAGCCAAUGAGGUUAUAACUGAGGCACGUCAAUUGCUGGUUGAAAACUAUUGUUAUAUGCAACACCAAUUCUACUUAUUGCCUUUGUAUCAAGUGAGCUCGAGUUGAGAUUUAGGAAGGCCCAUAAUAGGU